rnacentral:tRNA from 1 species
UAGAAAAAUGGGACUCGAACCCACACAAAAGAGCUCAAAACCCUCUGUACUCCCAUUAUACUAUUCCCU